rnacentral:lncRNA from 1 species
UUUUUUUUUUUUUUUGUUGCUAUAUACAUACAUAUAUUAUGUACAUACACACCAUAUUAUCAUAACUUCAUUUUCUUUUCUUUUCUCCUUCUUUUUUUUUUUUUUUUUUUUUUUUUUUUAAAUAAAUAUAUAUAUAUAUAUAUAUUUUUUUUCUUUUUCUGCACACGGUGCCAGACGCACCAUGAAACCCUUUUUUUUUAUUUUUUGUAUUAUUUUCUGUUUCUUUAGUUGGUGCCCAUGCACCAUUCCCUUUUUUCACGUGGUGCCAGAUGCACCACCACCUUUUUUUUUUUUUUUUUUUUUUUUUUUUUUAUAAAUUUGGGUGAUGGGUAGAGGAACUUGCAGGGAGCGGACGAAGAGUUGGAGUUUGAGGAAGCGCUUCUCGGCCGGCUAGUCGUUUGACAGCGGUCUUUGAAGUUGUUGGCAGCUGCGAGGCAAGAGACGGAGGAGGUGGAGGUGAUUUUGACGUCGGAUCCAGCUAGAACCCAGAGCAUAGCCACUGAGCCCAACCACCGAACACAGCCGCCGCACACCCGUUGCAUUGCUACUGAGCACAGCCAUUGCGCAUCCGUUGCACUGCCACCGAGCACCGCCACUGAUCGAGCACAGCCACAGAGCACCGCUACUGAGCACAGGCACAUAGCACAGCCCACUCAUCCCUCGGCAGAGAUCCAAAGUAAGAAGAAAUUUCCAAAAACUGAGGAAAGUUCAUGUUCCUGUCCCAGCGAUGAUCCUUGUGCCAUGGGACCUGGUCCAGGCCGUAUAGGUUAGAUGGAGAGAAGGCAGGGAGGAGCCUGGUGGAUUUCAGAGUCGAGAUCGAAUUCAGACGGAGAAUGAGAGACUGAGACGACGAGAUCGAAGUCCUGAACGAAGUUCUAAACCCUGACCCAGAACCUGCAUACCGAUGAUGAUGAACCAGAACCUAAUUCCCAAAACCAAACAACCAGAACCCACAUCCUGCAGUAGAGACCAAUGUCGAGGAGCAGUCUGGGGACGCCAUCGUCGGGGAGAGGCUGUUUAAGGCACGAAGGGAAGGUAAUUUUGCUACUGUACGAAGGAGACCGCGCGAUCUCCUUGGUGAUAUCCCUUCACCGCUUGCAGACACAGGCACAAGCGACGACGUUUUUUACGGUGAGGCCCCUUGUCCUCGCUGGCCUCCACUCUCCGUAUGAUCUCACCGAGCAGCUCCGGGAGCAUAUCCGACCACGAAGACGACAACAGCGACGAAGAUGAGUCAGCACAGUUCGAGUCACGGACGACUCGGCGGUCGCCCCCACGGGCCUGAUCCUCGUCGCUGAGCUUCAAUUCCCUGAACGAUUUGGAGAAUUUCCAGGAGCGAAAGGCUUUCCGCAGCGACAUGGGUUCAGAUUUGGGGCUUUAGGGUUCCUGAUUCUUUGGAUUGUGUGCAUCUUCCAUCCAGCAGCUGCCAACCCUCCAUGAUGAUACUCACUGAUUGUUUCAUCAACAAGUAUUACAAGAUCUCGUGUUGAACCAGACAUACGGAUGCUCUGAGCUGCAGCAAUGGCUCCACAUGGGCAGAAUGUAGGAUUGUUGCAUAUGCUUCUCUGUGGGCUCUUUCCGAGUAAAAGCUUUCUUUAGCCGUGAGAGGAGUUUGAGAGUGGAGAAAGCAUGAGAAUGGGCUGUGACCCAUGGCAGAAACUCGUUGACGCAAACACAAAACUUCACUCCAUCUUGAACUGGUGUCUUCGGAUAAAAAAAAAAUGCCCAAUUCAAACCAAAAUGCCUCCAGUCCUGCCAAUGCAAGCCUUUUGUUCCUGAGGAGUUGGCCUGCCCCAGCUUAAGAAAAUCAUGCCUUGGUUGCGGUUGCGUCCAAGUCUGAAAUAUUAGUCGAAAUCUGAGGUAGUAGAUCACAAUUUCAGGGGCGGGAGAUUUGCCGAAAGACGGUUCCAGCCAGGACAGAGGUUUGACUCAGAGCGUUCAUCUCGGAGAUUGAAUCAAGAUGGUUACUCUGAACCCGUGAUGCGUCCUGAUGGAAGAUAUGAGAUUGUUCAUCGCGUGAGGCGUUUUGAUUCAGAUGGUGGUGUGCGUCAGUACCGUUAUGAUAAAGAUUGUUUUGCAUCUCACAACACGCAGAACUACGAUGAAUCUGACCAUAAGGCGGCCGAGAGUCCGGGAGAGCGAGAUUGGGCCUGGGUCGCAUUUCUUGUUGGGUGUCUUGAGCAAUCCCCUGCUUGCAGAUCUUCGCACACAUACUGGUCCGAUUCGAGUAGGGUCUUGAUGUCCGUUUUGUCUCGGGCCUUGAGGUCCACUUGUUGGGCUUGGGCCUUUGACGCCAUAGCCCGGAUGCAGACGUAACAAAACGACGCCGCCGCCGUUGAUCUCGACGACACCGCAGAAGCUAUGGCUCUCCGUAUCAACCUCGUCGCCAUUGUUGCGUCUCUGAGCUUUGACAACAUAUGUAGCAGCAACCAUUAAAAGGCUUCUCUGCUCAUUAACCAUCUGUUUUUUAGCCCUUCUGACGACAAUACCACAACCUAAUCUCAUCGAUGGCAGAAGGCAGAAAGGAGGUAGAAGACGAAGACUCCUUCUGUUUGAAAAGUAACUCACAGUUUUGGGCCGUUGAGUGCUUGUUGGGCUCACGGUCAUCCUCAAUAAUGCAGCCCACCAUUAUAUAUAUAUUUUUUUAUAAUACAUUAAUAACAUGUUUUUUUUUUUUUUUUUUUUUUUUUUUGUACAAAGAAAUUGUAAUAGCAUCAAAACUUUUAAUUAAAUCUUUAUUCCCUAUUUUGGUGUGACUGAACUCGAAAUUGAAUGCUCGAGCUGCCUACGUACCCUUCCAAAAAAGAGAUCAAGUCGUAACGUAGUUCAAAUACAUUUUUUUUUUUGUACUUUCUUUUGGUGUCGUUUGCAGUUUCAACUCGUGCAGACAAGGAGCUUUUGGUGCCGUGUUGCAGUUUCAGCUCGUGCAGGCAAUGAGCGUUUGGUGUCGUUUGCAGUUUCAACUCGUGCAGACAAGGAGCUUUUGGUGCCGUGUUGCAGUUUCAGCUCGUGCAGGCAAGGAGCGUUUGGUGUCGUUUGCAGUUUCAACUCGUGCAGACAAGGAGCAUUUGGUGUUGCCUUUUAUGCUUGUGCAGACCAGGAGCUUCGUGCCAUGCAGUUUAGACUCGUGUAGGCGAGGAGCCUUGGUUCGUGCAGUUUAGGCUCGUGCGAACAAGGAGCAUUGGUGUUGCCUUUUAUGCUCGUGCAGACCAGGAGCUUUGUGCCAUGCAGUUUAGACUCGUGCGGGCAAGGAGAAUUUGUGAAUUUUGUCAAGCAAUCCGGGAGAGGCGUUCCUCACAAUUUUCAUAGCAAGGAGCUUUGACCGCGUGAUUGAAAAAGUCUUCGGGCAGGAAAUCGCGCAUCGUGAUGGGGAUGGACGAUCUAUGUGUCGAAAUUUCAUCAUCUUCAACAAGUUCACGUUGCUUUGAAGGUUGACAAUAGCUGCUUUGCCCCCUUUCCGAUUGGCGGACUUGUGAAGGAGACGUAUGCUUCUUGUGCAAUUUCUUAGGAGUGACUUGAGUCCAUCCUUCAACUUUGCUUGUCUUUGAGGAUGCCCCCAGCGGUUGAGGUGAAAACUUUGAGUUGGAAGAGCCAAAAGUGAAGGUGGUAUAGUUUGACUUCGCCACUUCGUCAAGAUCUAGCUCGAUGAUUCCUUUAUGAGCCAGCUUCAUGAUGAGAUCUUUCAGCACGAAACAUUUUUCUGUCGGAUGACUGAUGAAGCGGUGGAAUUUACAGUACCUUGGAUUGUCGGUGCGAUUCAUCUCUUCCGGCCGUCUGCACUCAGGCAAACUGAUCACCUUCUUGUCCAACAGGUCAUCUAGCAUGGCAACCACAUCAGAGUCGGGGAAUGGAUAAGUCUUCUCCUCAAGCUCCUUCAAAGUGCGUCUACGCGUCUCUUGAUCACGAAAAGCUUCGGUUUGAAUCGCCUUGCCUCGUGUGGAUAUUUUGACAGGAGAUGUGUUGAUCAUCAUCGCUUCCUUGGUGGGUUUCCAAGCAGCCUUCUCCACCUUUGUCUCAAGAACUUUGUCGUUCUUGUAGUCGGCGAUCGGUUCCUUCUUCCCAUGAUGGGCGAUGCUCAACUCCAUGUCAUGGGCGCGGGUGGCUAGCUCUUCGAAGGUCCGUGGUUUGAUGCCUUGAAGGAUGUAUUGCAAACCCCAUUGCAUGCCUUGGAUGCACAUCUCGAUUGAAGAGGUUUCCGAGAGCCUGUCUUUACAGUCGAGGCUUAGAGUGCGCCACCUGUUGAUGUAGUCAAUGACUGGCUCGUCCUUCCACUGCUUUGUGCUCGUUAGCUCUAGCAUGCUCACAGUGCGGCGGGUGCUGUAAAAGCGGUUGAGGAAUUCCCUUUCCAACUGUUCCCAGCUGUUGAUGGACUCAGGCUCUAGGUCCGUGUACCACUCAAAGGCGUUUCCUUUCAGCGAGCGCACAAACUGCUUGGCGAGGUAGUGUCCUUCGGUUCCUGCGUUGUUGCAAGUUUCAACGAAGUGGGCAACGUGCUGUUUUGGGUUUCCCUUUCCAUCAAAUUGCAUGAACUUUGGUGGUUGAUAACCCCUUGGCAUCCUUAGGGCAUCAAUCUUCUUGGAAUAGGGCUUCGAGUAGAACAAUGAGGUAUGUGAGCUCCCUUCGUACUGUGUCUUGAUGGUAUUGGUGAUCAUCUCCUGUAGCUGCUGGAUAGAAAGAGAUCCCAUGAGUGCCGCUGCUUGGUCUGGCUCCGGCUUCCCAUCGAUUUUCUUCACCGGGGGUUCUUCGUCUCCGCCAGCUCCUCCCUUUAGUGGAUCAUCCUCUGGGUCGGGUUUAUCGCCAUCCUGCGCUUCCAGUCGGUUGACUAGUGCUGCAAUUUGCAAGUCUUUUUCUUCCACAGUUCGGGUUAGCCUUGCGAUUGCUUCAUUCAUUUGAGCCAGCUGCUCAUCGAUUGAAGUUGCUCCAAUGGUCAUGACUUGCAUGGCUGAACUAUCGCUUGAAUCGGCAUCGGAGAGCAUGGAUUCAGAGUAUUUCCUUGGGCUUUCCCCCCUUGGUGCCCUUAGUGAGGCUAAGGUGAUCAAAGGCUCGUGCCUUGGGUGCUUUUGUUCCCUUGGCAGAGUUGAUGCAGAGGUGAAAGAGGCGGCAGAAGUAGCUCUUGCCAUGCUUCGAGUCAUGAUGCCCAAAGUGACACCAGUUGCGACGAGGACGCUUUUGUUCUUUGCGCCGGUUGCGGGAACAGUUUGAGCCUUCCUUGAUGCCAUUAAUUUUGGAAGUGCGCUUGAAUUUCUUGAACGGAGAAAGAGAUGAGAGGUAGAGAUUGUCCCACUGGUCGUGCCAAUUUGUGAACACGGAAAAUUCCUGAAACGAAAGAGACAAGAAACGACGUGCACAAACAAAUAUUUGUAUUUUUGAUUUUGGGUUACAAUCUCUCUCUAUUUUGAUCCUCUGAUUCGAUCUCCGUAAGGUGUGUAUUUGUGGAUGUGUGAUUGAUCCAAAUGGCCGUUGGGCUUGAUCUAAGGAUGAACGUUCUUCAAGGGCCGUGGACUUGAUCUUGAAGGUGGAUUUGAGCGGAUCUUCAAAGGGGCUUUUGGGCUUGAUCUUUGAAGAACAGUGAUGAACGGAUCUCCAAGGGCUUUUGGGCUUGAUCUUGAAGAACAGUGAUGAACGGAUCUUCAAGGGCUUUUGGGCUUGAUCUUGAAGAAACGGUUGGAUGUGUGGAUUUGUCGACGUUGUUGAUCCAAAGGGCCGUUGGGGCUUGAUCUUGAUUUGGUGGAUGAUUGUUGAUCCAAAUGGCCGUUGGGGCUUGAUCUUGGAUGAACUAUGAACGAGGAACGAAGAACACUUUCUUCAAGGGCCGUCGGGGCUUGAUCUUGAAUUGGUGGAUGAUUGUUGAUCCAAAGGCCGUCGGGGCUUGAUCUUGGAAGAACGAUGAACGAAGAACGAAGAAGGCUUUCUUGAUUCUUCGGGAACCUAGAUGCUUAAGAGCUUCGGAGUUUCAGAGCUUCAGAGCUUCAGAGCUUCAAGGUGUAAUAUGAAUUCGUUCCUUGUAAAUGAAUGAAAUGGGCUUGUAUUUAUAGAAUUUUCCAAGGCCUAACUUUGAAUAUAAUAUCCCAGAUGAAAUAAGUCGUUUCUGCUAGGUGUUGACACGUGUCCUGUUUGAUGACUUUUCCAACUUAUUUUGAUUUUUUGUUUAGACACACGCUACGUGUAAAAUUUAUGUAAUACAUGAGCGUUGAAACUUUGAUUUAUCGGUCAACAUUUAUUUACCGAAAUUUCGAUGUCUACAAUAGGUUGGCAGUUGAAUUUUAUAAUUAAGGAAUUAAAAAGAUCCCAACACAAAUCCGAACUCUAAAAUCCCAAAUCCCACUCCCAUCCAAACAGGUCCACAAUUCCUUCACCCAAAUGUUCAUACAUUCAUCAAAUUACUCCCACCUAAAGAUUUAGUCUCUAAUCAAAUCCUAUUAUUCAUGCUAUUGCUAUUGAUCCUCCGCAUCAACAAAAAUAAAAUUCGGAGAAGUAGACUUACAGUAGCCGGCGAAGUAACGGAUGUCGUCGAGGUCGGAGGAUGGCUGGAUGGGUGGUGGUGGUGCCGUUGUGUUGGUUGUGGCAGUGGUGAUGGGCGUUCUCUGGGAUGUCGAAGUCGAGGGAGUCAAGGGAGUGACGGAUGGUGGAGAGGUGGGAGUGAAAGAGUGAGACUGAAACUGAUUCUGGAAACCUAGUUUAGAAGGUAACAGUUCAGAUUGGAUGAUAGGUUAUCAUUCAAUCUUGACCGUUGAUUAUAAUUAAAAACGGGUCGGUCCGGGGCCCUGUUUUUCUAAGGUUUAGAAACCAACCCGCCCCGUAAAUAACAAUGGCCCGGCCUGGCCCGUCCCAUUUGUUCCAAAAAAAAAUAGGACUCGGCCUAUACCCGUCCCAAACCUACAUUACCCGUCCCGACCCGCAGUUCCUUUACCCGUUUGCCCACCCCUGGUGGCAAUGGCUUUAAACCAUUUUUAAGUGAGUGUAGUGUGUAAUAUAUACAUUAUUUUUAUUAGUGGUGCUAUUUAUGCAUUUAUUUUUAUUUCUUAUAAGUUUUUUUUUAAUUAUUAACCAUCGAAUUAAAUGAAUUAAAGAAGAUCAAUAGCGAAAAACUAACAAAGUUGUGUGGGAAGUAAAAAUGAGUGUAUGAAUAACACUUUCCUUGAUAAAACCCUAAAGACAAUUUGGUCCGCUUCACAAAAUGAAAUUAUCAGUAGCAUACAAACCAAAUUUUGCUGUUUUUUUUUUUUUUUUUUUUUUUGUAGGCUUGAUCAUCAAGUUUCUCAAUUAAUUUCAUUUGUAAUCGGUUUGUGCUUUUUUGUAGGCUGAAGCCGUAGCUGAGGAGCUAUGUGAAUCAGUGGCAGCUAGUCUUGACGGUAAAAAGUUGCCAUGGUUCACGGCAAUAUCUUCUGCUGUGCAGGCAGCAAUGGAAGAAGCACUUGUUCGUAUUUUAACUCCUACUGUGGACUCUUCUCCUAUACUGAACCCGCGGAAGAAUCUGCCCAGGAAACCAUGUGUUUUCGCUUACAUUGACACCACAGGAGAUUGGAAAGCAACCAGUUCGGUUAAGGUAAUUAAGCUGAUUAAUUUAAUUCUUGUGCUUAAGUCAAGCAGGCCUCUAAUUUUACUAAAUGGUUCUGCUUAAUCAUAUAUUGUGAUCAAUUUGCUGCAGGCUGCUUGUCGGCUCCAGAAGGAACGGAAGAACAGCGUUAUUAUGGUGGCCGACCGUGAUACAUUCCGGUCAGACACUGUUAUGCAGUUGCGUAGAGAUGCAUGGAAACUCCAGGUACUGAACUAUACAGAUAGUUUCAAUUUAUAGGAUUCACGUUCACUUAAGAAGAUUAAAUUUUACAGAUGUGAGAUAGGUCAGUUUGUCAGGUAGUGUUCCGCCCCUGCAUCUAAGUUCGAACACCCUUACUUGUAAAUUCGAGUCGAUUAUUACUUACUGUCUCAGCCUGAUAAUUAACUUCCGAUUAUUAAGAAACCAAUUUUGCUCCAUGUCAGCGGAUUCCUAUUUUCGAGAUGCGGCAUGAGAAGGAUCCCACAAUUACCAUAAAGAAAGCAGUCCAGGAGGCCAGAGACGAUGGUUCGGAUGUGGUUGCUCAUGCAGCCAGUCCAAAGCAGGUAUAUCGCUUUUCCGAGUUUCUUCUUUUGCAUUACUGAUGAACUGCUAAACGGGUCGUGUUUGUCAUGUUCGUUCAUUUUUGUGUUAAAUACGUUAUCUUAAAAGAUUCUUAACAGGCGAUCAAAUAAUGACUUGAUUUGUUAAUGUGGUUUCGUGUUAAGUUAACGAGUCAUGCAAGAAAUUGUCAUACCUAAUGUCUUAUCGGUUAUUAACUAAUAACGACAUGACUGAUUAACUAAUUAUUAAUGGGUAACUUGAUAAUGACUUAACUCGUUAACAGAUUGACCCAACACAUGUAAUUUUCGUAUUGUAUCACUUCGUGUCGGUUUAAAGAAUGGUGUAAAAAAUUGUCAAGUCCUAUGAUUAUGCAUUGUGUGAAUUAAUGACUGAAUUUGACCAUGCCUUGGGUAGGCGGCAACUGUGCUGGCGACGGCGUACUUAUCCGGAGCUAAGGUCAUUUUACGUGGCGUUGGGAAGCCGUACACAGGAGAGAAGCACACAACCAGAAAGCUUGUCAAGAAACUCUUCAAAUGACACUCAACUGUGCUGGCUUCUUAAUUUCGUUAUAAUCACAGCAUAUAUGCUGUUAAUUAAUUUGUUUGUUGAUUAUGUAAUCUAGUAUCGUUAUCGUGUAUUUUCGAAACUUGAACGUGAAUUGAUGAAGUUGUUUUGGCACUAGUUUAAUGUCAAAUCUAAUUAAUUCUCUUUUGUUCUAGAGCUUCUCUUUCUCUACUGUAAUUAACUGAUGUAGAACAAAUGAUUGAGUGAAUUGAAGGCAAAAUGGACUGAAGAAAGACAAACUACAAUAAGUAAAAAAUAAUAAUAAAUGUUAGAGAGGUGGUACAAAUGGAAUUGAGAUUCUUUUCAGAUCUCAGGGUCUGAAGUCGACGGAUCAAAUAAUCUAGAUCACAUUUCAAAUCUUACAACUCUCACUAGUCUUUUUCAUUUGCUCACCUCACAAAAUUCAAGGGUUUGGAUCUUUCUCCGUCUUUUGAACAAUCUAGAUUACACAGUCCAUCAACUCCAAACUUCGAAAUCUGAAAAGAACCUACAAUAUGAUAUAUAAAAUAUAACUAGAGUAGCAUUUUUUAUAAUAUUUAUAUGAGCUCAAUUUUAAGGGAUCUCUAGAGUAGAGCCUAAAGCUUAGUUUAUUACAUAAUUUAUUCAUGAGAAAUUUAAAAAAUAAGAUAAAAUAAAAUAUAAAAAAAAUCUAAUCUCCGAUUCUUUUUACUUUUAUUAAAACCGUCGUCUAUAAAAUUUAAACUCAGAGCCUCCUGAAACUGAGACUCCAUCUCCAAAUAAAAGAUGACAAAUUCAAGUGCAGCAACAACACAGUACAUCUAAACAGCACUCACAAGUCUCAUAGCAGCAGAAACAAGAAGAAGCUGCAAACAAACUGCACCGAAAUUCACAGAUCACAAAACGAAAUUAAAAGGAUAAUCAAGUACAUAUAUAAGUAAAAACUGUAAAAAUUUCAAUCAUACUAACCAAGCAUAGAGGCACCCCUUCUCCUCGUGGCGCCGUCAAACGUGAUCAACCGGGGACAUUUCUUGGUAACCCGGUGGUGCAUACAUUUUCUCUUCUUCCUCCUCCCACCACAAAUUAAGAAAGAUAAAUAGACUGAGUGCUGAUUUUUCUGUGCAACUCUCUUCUUUUUUAGGCUUACAAAUUUGAUAGAAAUACUGAAUGAUAAAAGCUGUGUGUGAUUUGCAACCACUCAGAUUUGGUAUUAAAUGUAUCCACCAAUCAUUUUUAUGAGCUUCCAUUACAAAAUCAAUGGUUGACAGGUGGGUGAGGGAAUGAAGCUGAGAUUCUAUCCCACCACAGAAGUGGGCAGUCUAACUCUUUAUAAGUACAGACAAAAUCGCUUAAUCUUCGUUGUGUAAUUCACAUUCUCAACACACUCCCUUUUGUGUGGGGUCAUUUAAGCCUAGCACAUGACAGCACACUUGGGUAAAGUAGGAGCAAGCAAGAUGUGACUCAACACGUGAGUAACAUGCUCUGAAACCAUAAAAAAUGUUUAGGGAAAGUUAAGGUAAAUAAACCAAUUAGUAAUAUUGGACGUAGCCUAACUCUUUAUGAGGACAUGCAAAAUCCUUAAUUCGCUAAUGUGAAAUUUACAUUCUCAACAGCAUACAUAUAAACAUACAUACAUACAUGUUUACGUGCAUAUAUAUAUACAUGUAUAUAUAGGUGUGUAUAUACGUAUACACAUGUGGGUACAUACGUGCAGGCCAUGUGUGAUCACCGUCCAAAUGGAGAUGUGAAGUCAGAUUCCAAUGGCUUGAGUCAUGACACCAUCAUCAGGGCUUCCCGUGAUUCAUAUUCACAAGAAAUCACUGAUUUCUUUAUCAAUAUAAAGACGAGACUACCACAUCUUCUCUCUUUUUAUUCUUUCAUGUAUUACAAUUGUAUGAUUCUAACAUGGGUUAGUAGACAGAAAAAUAAGGGUAACGCAGUCCGACCACAUCAUCCACAAAGCACCUCUCAAAAUAUUAAGGGAUGCACCUCUCAAAAUAUUAAGGGAUGGCGUAUAAUUUGAUCUUACUCGAUUCCAUUGAUCUUCAACCGAUGCAGGAGUUGCCUAGUUAGACAAUCCUAUUGAAAUUUCGACCGUUUGUAUGUGAUCUCGUUCUAUGUAAAAGUUAUCCUAAUCAGUCAGCCCUACCAAAAUUUCUCAAGUAUGUAGAUAAACUCUUUUUAGCAGAAAAAUAACUUUAAACUCAAAAUUUAUCAACACAAGCGAGACCAAAACACCGACAUAAUAACACAAAUAAUGUGUAUAAUACGAGUCAAAAGUUGUUCCAAAAGUCAUCAUAUCAACAACAUUUAGAUUUAUGAACUUCACCUAGUACAUGUGAAUCCAUGCUAGCCAAGGUCAAACAUGUUUGUCCAAAAAACCCAAAAAUACCCAAAAAAAAAAAAAAUGAAAUGAGGAGGACAUUAAUUUAGCUAUACAAAUCCUUGACAUUGCAAAGCGGAUGGCUUUAAACAUGAUCACUAUCUACUCAACAGGGAGACAAGAAAAAAUACAACUUACAAAAGAUAGGCCAUAACAAACCAACCCUUCUGUAAAGAUACAAGAUGUGUCAACAAACAUAACACACGGCAAGCAAAACGGUCCUUUAACGAAUCUUCAGCGCAGCGGGAUCAUCUAUCAAUACAACUUAGAAGUACAACUCAGAAGUACAACAUCCAAGCACUAACACAAUCUGCACCGUUUGUUAUCUCUGGUCCAGUUCAGAACCAAAAUUUGAUACUCCAUUAGAGCUGUCAAACUAUGCAUGCCAAGUUCUGUUACUUAAGAAAUUAGCAGACAACAUGGUAAGCAGGAGGUUUUAUAGGAGAUAAAAAGUUACAGGCUACAGGUUGGACCCCGGCCGCAGUUUCCAAGCGUUCCCAUGUUAACCUUCGCUUCUCAGCUGCAGCGCUUGACCUUAGAUUUUCCUCCUCCAACUUACAUUGGCAGGCAAUUACCAGCUCCUCAUCCAUAUCGCAAAAUGUCUUCUUCAUAUUCAGGGUCAGGUUCAGCACCGCUUGAUUCCAGUGGUGUUGGGUGUUUCGCUCAAUAGCUGGGAAGACAAGCGGCAAGAUCACCUGGCGGUUAUGUGCGACAAGGUUAAGGAUGUGUUCAUUGUUCCACAGCAAGUGGGCUCGUUCAGCCACCUAAAACAAAAAAAUGUGUUAUUGUUUAGAAGCAUCAUCAGUUGAAUGAUCUAGAUCAUGCUAACGUAUAGUUCUUUACGAUCAAGCAAGCAAAUUUUCAGUCAAACAGGGGGUUCCAGUUUAUGCAGUAGAAUAUUACCUGGUAAUGAAAACUAUUAAGGCAGCAUCUUAUCCGCCGGAACAGGGGAACCAUGAUCCUUUGAAAUUCGUCCAUGCUAGUCAUUUCCAAAACCUCUUCUAACUCGCUUAAAAACAUCAACUCCUUCUGGCUAUUUGUUACAGGCCAGUACUUCAACAAGCCCUUUAUUACAGUACUCGCCAAUUUCGGAUCCUUAUCUAUAAACUGUACAACACAAUAUGUCAACUGCUGAUGAUAAAUACCCACGGACUUUGGUUUGUGUAGAGGAAUCAGAGCCCUCCACAAAAAUAUCUUGUGUUCCUCCUUCAGUGGCAAAGCAAACCCACUAAUUACACUUCCAAAUAUCUCCAACAGCUCAGAAAUUCCAUUAUGCCUUUCAGUUUCGAAAACAAAACGAUAUAUGAUAUUGCUUACAGCUUUCCGGAUAAAUGGUCUGUGUACCAUGAACUUUCCAUAAAUCCUAUGCAGAAUGGUUUUCAAACAAUCUCUUUCUCUUGGGUCCUCAGAGUCAAAGAGGUCAAGUAAUUUUACGAUAAAAGAGUGAUCCACAUGCUUUUUUGCCACCUUUACAUCAAGUGAACUAUAACUGAUAAACCGAACCAGAAGAUCAUACACAAUUUGCAGAUAUGACCAAGCAGGAUCAAACAUUGGUUCUUCAUCUUCUGUUUCACCGCCAGUAAAAUUAGAUCGAUACUUAGGUGGGAAAACUCUAAAUAGGUUGACUGCACACAUUUUACACACUGCAGAAAUUGCUGGUUCAGUGAACUUCACAGUCCCAGAAGAAACAUAAUCAACAAGUUCUAUUAAUGUUUCACGUUUGAGAUCUUGCUUAACUGGAUCGCUGGAAUCAACGAACUCACAGCAAAGGUUCAGCUUGCUGAUAAAUAGAUUAUGCUUCUGUGGGUUUGAAACCUCCUUGAAGGAUAGAUGGGGCUCCACUGCCUCAGCUCCAGCUGCAAUGCUUGAUGGGAAAACUGCUGAAGACACCCGCUUGACAACAUUUAAUUUGCUUGUAAGAGAACUCCCACCAAUUGUACAUGGGAACCCACUCCCCAAAUUGGAAGUAUUGCUGCCAGAAUCACUCCCUAUAGAAUCUAGUGAAUCACACUUUGACGACUUGCGAGGAAGUUUGCUUAGGAUUUGCUUCAGCAUGGUGGACCCUGCAUAAUCCAACCAACAUUUAACAUGGCGAAAUGUUGUAGCAAUCAAAUCAAUACAUCAAUACAUCAAACCUUCAAACAAAAUAUCUUCGGGCACAUCAGCUACAAAACCAUCCACAUAUAUGGAGUGUAACCAUAGUACUACAAUGUCCCGCAAAGGGAUUACACAACAAAGCAAUAUAAGACUUCAACUGUGUAGGUGGUAACGGGAAACGAAAAACAGACUGAGCGGAACACAACUUGCGAUGAAAUUGAAGCCGUUUAGAAGACAACUUCAGUUAGUCCAUGGACUGUUAAUUUGUCUAUUAGUAAUCAUCAAAUCAGAGUAAUAUCUACAUGACUGCAUUUCUUCAGUAAAGUUCAGAACAAAAGCAUAUACAAGUAGCAAGUGAACUGAAUCUUUCACCCACCAGAUCAAACUCAAAAGCAAUCAAUUCAAAACAUGAAAAAUUUAUACACCAAUAAAAAUCUAACAAAUACUUCUAUCUUACUAAAGAAGAACAUCAAUCUGACCACAAAAGAAACAAACACUACAGAAAGAAACAAGUUAAAAACAAGUCUCUAAUUAGCAACGAAUUAUAAGAUAAUAAAUGCCUAUAAAGUUAUUAGAUUUUGGUACAACAAACAAUGGAAACUCAGAUCUGGCACAAAAACAGAAUAAUAACACAGAUCUACACCAACCCCAGAUCACAAUUAUCAUAAAACCCUCUUGAAAAAUAAAACUUGGGCACGAUCUAGACAAUGCACAAACAAAAUUCAUCAAGAACAAGAAUUUGAAGUCUACCCAAGUUAGCUAAACUGAACACAAACAUUCAAGGAGAGAGAAACCUGUUUUGGAGCUUCUGGGUGUGCUUGUAAAAAACACAGAGAGACCCUUUUUAGCAAAUGAGAGUAGAGGAGGAGGUCAUGGUAUCCACAAAACUACCCAAAAUGUAAUUUUGGGUGAGAAAUGAAAAAGCAAUUUACUUUAGAACAAAGGGGAAGAAAAACAUAAGGCAGGCAGCAGAGAGAGAGAAAAAGAGAGAGAGAGAGAGGCAGUGUUUGGCUGUGAAAAAAAUGAUGUUUUGAUCCACUAUCUCCCUUUAUGUUGGACCAAAAGCUUAAGCUAGAGGGCUUCCAUGGGAGAUCAAUACGAGAUCAAUACGAGGUCCUCGAUUGAAAAGAAGAGGCGGUGUGGCAUUUUCUGAGAAUUGCAGGCGCCGGUCUCCACCCAACAAAAAUAAAGUUUUAACACUUUCAGUUGGUAGAGAAGAAAAAAGAAAGAAACUAAACUAUAUGAACAAAAAUAACUAUUUGAGAAAUAUUCCUUAAGCUAAGCUUGGCUGAGCUGAAUAAGAUCUGGAUUGGAUUUUCAUUUGGUAAAAAGCAUUGCUAUUAUUGUACUUGUGGGGCACCGAAAGCGGCCUUCUUGUGUACCAUGUUAGCAGUAGCACCAACCCAACUCUUGUGUGUUGUUCCCUUUCUAACUGAUAUUUUUGUUGGUCCAUUUGGUUUACUUAUGUUUGAUUAGCCCUAAACAAAGAAGAGGGGUAGAUGGAGAGGAGGACUACUAACCUCUUCUAAUGAUGUUAUUAUGACCGUAUCUCUUAUGCACUGAUAUAUUUUAAGUCGCAAUUUGGGUUAAUGCAUCAGAUAUUGAAUAUGUCAUAGUGUAAGUCCGAACAUGCGUUAUUGACUUGAGAUACCUUCACAUUAGUAUCUUACAUAUAAUUAGAUGAGGCAUAGACUCCCCAACAUAUAUUGUACAUACUCUUUUUAACCCAGUUGGGUUAUUUAGGUAACUCAACUUUUAUAAAGUGUUAUCAUAAAAUGAGAGAAUCCAACUCAUGACCUCUAAUGAUAAUACUAAAUUCUAUUAACAAACUGAGUUACAAUUUUCUUACUUGAAUAACUCGGCUUAAGAUCUUGCUUUGUAAUUUAACUGUGAGCCUAAUGCGUUUAAUCAUUGUACGAACUUCGUGGCUUUAAUUAUUAUAAGAGUAACUUUUAUUAAGACAAUAUGUGAGAAUUAAAAAAAUGUAUAUGGAUAGCACCACCUUUUUAUUAAUGUAUUUCACUCUUCAAAUUCCAUAGGGGUGAUUUUAAAAAAGAAAAGGAACCAUAAUGCAUGUUGGCCAAUUUAACAAAAGGUUAAUCUUUUGAUUUGUUCAAUUGUUCCCCAAGACAAAUUAUGGGAUCAACAUCAUAACUAAAUGACAAAAUAUAGUGCCAAGUCUUGUCCUACCCAACAGGGUGCCCAUCAAUUAGUUGGUAAGCAGAAAAAAUGUGUAUUAAACAAAAAUAAAGCAAAGUUAAAAUAAUAAAAGGUUGGAGUUUGCUUAUCGGCUUUGAGAAGCAAAGAAGACCAAAUGAUUCACAUAACAAUAACUUUGUUUCCAUUUAACUUCAAUCUCAUCCGUUAUAGUGAACUUUAUUUACAAAGUUAUGUUUGCCUGAUGACAUCCUAAUAACAACAAUAAAAUCUUAUUAUAAUAAGUGAGGUUGACUUUAUAUAUGAAUCUUAGAACGUCACUACACUUGAUUUUGCACCAAAUAUUCCGUUAACUCUAGAUACUAUAAUUAAUUGGCUCCCUGUUGGGUAGAACAUGGCUUUGCAUUCUAAGAACGUAAAAAUAUUUUUGCUCUUUACGUGUGAUGACUCAUUUUUCUUUAUUAUAAUGUUUAUAUUGUGAGAGUUACACUUAAUAGUAAGAACGGUGUCCGUUUUCUUGUAUCCAAGUUCGGAAAGGUUAGAUAGUUUACAUGAAGGUAUUGAAUUGGGAGAAUUUAACAGCAAAAUGCACAUGACUUUGGCUCGGUACAAGUACUUAUUAAGGACAAGAUGAUAUUGUCCAAAAAACAAAAGCUGGUGCGCAUUUCUGGCAUAAACUAAGGAAGCUAUUAUUACUAACCAAAUGAUCAAUUUGCAGUAAAAGUAGUAGGGCAGAGUACUUUUACUGGUGCAGCUGUAAUUACCAUCAAAGUUUCACUGAAUAACACACCUAAAAAGAGGGGGGGAAAAGGUACAGUCAGGUUAACCUCUCUCUUAUUUUUCUGACUGAAAUGGCUUUAACAAGGAAAAUAGGGACACCUGAAUUGAGAUUUUCUCUGUAUUUCACAGUUCGAAGCUAACAAAUUGAGUACUUUGGAUCAUUUAUUUUAAAUUUUACGGUUUUUAUUAGUCUAUCUUAUCAGUCUGCCACAUAAAAAUCAAGGGUAUGAUCUUCAAAAUUUCUUCUCCCUCUUUUGAUUUCUUCUCCCUCUUUUGAAUAGUUUGAAUUACGCAAUUUGUCUGCUCUGAACUACAGGAUAUGAAUUCCAUCUAUAUAUGCACAUGAUGACUCAGGAAGGAAUCUGAGUCCUUGGAGCUGCAAAAUGAUUACAUCAAAUUAUUAUAUGACUACCUUUUAAAAGAAGAAAUAAAUAAAAUGAAAUUAAAAGGGAUUAUCUAUUUCUACUUUAACCGUGCAGGACGCCAUGUACGGUGUACCUAUCCCAACGGCAUCUGAACUUUUCAUCAACCGAAUACGCUUGCAUGAUUCUAUAAACAUCCUGCAAUUAAUUGGAACAAAAAAACAAAGAAGAAAACGUAUGGUUAUACAUAGGUUUAGGGUUUGACAAAUCACAUGAAAGCAAAUUGCAUAACCAAACUUAAAUCUGGAAAAGAAAAUAGAAGUACGAUGAACAAGAAAUAGACCGAACCCUAGUCACACGAAAUGGCUCUAUAUUAUUUUAUGCAACAACAUUAAUCAAGACUCUUAUAGUUGAUGAAAAAUCAAUCAUAUAAUAUUUAAAAUUACAGUUUAUUAUAUGAUCGUUCCACUAACCAAACUCCACUAACGCUAAAGAUUUGGCCAUUUAGAAGGCUGGUGGGGAUUUGAAUUUGGGUCGCUACUAUGUAACACUUUGCCAACUCAACUAUAUAUAACCAUGAGGAUUAACAUGCACAUGGUACUCUUGGCUUGCUACAUAUAUACUUAAACACUAACUAAUUUUAGUUAUAUGAAAUGUUUUGGCAGAUUUGUGACAAACAUGCAUAUGUAGCACUUCCAGUCCUUUUAAAAAUACUUCCAUACGAGCCCGUAGGUACUGGUAACUUACUUCCAAGGGACGUCUCCAACUAACAUCCAGUCUCCAUACUUGUCUUCAUAUGUCAGCACAUAUUGAUCCAUUCCUUUCAAUGCAGGUUUCAUAACCUCAUUGCUAUCCUCAAUAUACUUACCUAAUUAAAACAUUAUCCAGAUUAAUUACUAACCUUGUAUUUAUUAAUUAGAGCUUGUAUCACAAAUUUAUAUUGGUAUAACAACUAGUUAAUUAACUAGCGCUAGCUAGAUUUUAGCUUAAUUAACUUUAUAAUACUCACGGCAUAUGGUUAAGAAGUGAACAUUUGGUCUAAGGCUGUCAAUAGCUCCUGAUAACUUUUGUACUCCUCCAAGUCUAGUUUACGCAGAUAAGGAGCUCCAUCUGCACUCACUUUUACAUUCUUUCUGCUGCUCUCCACCACCACCAACGCCUUCUGUCUCAUCGAUCUUACCGGCGGCCACCCAAUUAUUCUUGCUCUGAAUAUCAAAACCCCAAAUACACAGUUCGUUAGAUAAAGCUGAAAGGAAAAUGUCGACAAGCUAAACAAGUAUGAUGAUUUAGUCAACUUUUGACAUGGAUAUAUAAUUCUUGGAUUACAAUUUUAAAACUGAACGAUUUGAUAUCACACAUCGGAACUAUGCAUGUACGAAACAACAUAGACAAGUUAAAACAAGGACAUGGGUCCUCUCCAAUCUUUGCUUUGCAGCUGGGGCUUUGAUGACGGCGGGAGUAGUUGUAGAACUACUACUUGAUAAUGAACUGCCACGUGGACCGCUACAGGUAGAGCUUUUCUGUAGGCAAAUCUGAUCAACGGUCUCCAUGAACCCACGUUUCAUCGAGCUGCCACUCCAAAGACACGAUGAUGAUCAUAAUGACGUCGUACCAGGUAACCCUAAGGUGAGCUCAGUGUCCUUAAACUCCAUGCUUUCAUUUGCUGACAUCAGCUUUCCGGUCGGCCGGCUAGUACUGUGUGAACUUAUGCAGGUUGUUUGCUUUGUUGUUACAUACAUAGAGAACAGGAAGAGUGGAGGUAGAAAAUUUCGAAGGAGGAUCUCGCCGGAUCUCUUUCCUAUGGAUCCUAGCGAUUUCGCAAUUAUAUCCGUUCAUCGUAUAUUGUGCGAUCGAUUUUUGUUAGGUAUUAUUUAUAUUUGAAUUUUAAAUUUUAAAUUUUAAAUAAUUUAUAAUCGUACGAUGUAUAAUGAACGAAUAAGAUUGCAGGAUUCUUAGAAAAGGGAUCGGCAAGGAUCCUUGUUUGAUUAUUUCAAUGGCACGAGGGGGGGGCGAAUGAGGAGAGUCCACGUGGGGUCAGGUUCAUGCAUGGCUUGACAGUAGCAGCAUAGAAGUUUGUGCCGGCUGUCGGUUCAUCCAAUCCGAUUCAGUUUCUGUCACUCCCUCUGAAUCGACUUCCAUACAUUAUUACCAAAAUUACCAUAAUGCUUUAGAAAUUCCACAUCUUCAAUUGUACAAAUUGGAGGAAAUUCUGUAGGCAUUAUAAGCAAAAGUUACAUAGGGAAUUAUUGAAAGGAUGUGAUAUCACACAUUUCUUUUUACUUUUUACAAACAUUUUUAAUUUUCGGCCGUCGGAUCGGAUGAAAUAAAGAAGAUCAACGGACAUAAAUUAACAAGGGGUGUGUGAGAAGUAAAAAUGGGUGUGUGGAUAACACAUCCCUUAUUGAAUAUGUUAUAAAUACGCGUGAUAUAAUUUAAGUGAAACAGUAAUGUUACGUAACAAUAUUUUGUUUUGGUUUAUGAAAAAUUAUUCGUGCUAAUUGUUGUGCAUACAUAUAUAAUUCCAUUAGGAUAAUCCAAUUAGCGUAUAUCCUAAUCCUCUUUUUGUAUUUUUUUGGUAGAUAUUAUAUCGCUUAAAUAUUUGAUUUAGAGAAUCAUAGUAUUUCUCUAGGAAGAGGAUAUUUGAAAUGUGAAAUUUGAAGCCUCAAACAUUAGGGAGAAAAAAGCUCAAACAUCAGGGAGAAAGAUGUAACUAGACGAAAAGUUUGUGUAAUUGAUAACAUCAUAUGAAUUCGAGUUUUCAACUCUUAUUGGGAUCUUGCCAAACAUACGCAAUACUUGAGCAAAAUUAAUUAUUGAGCAAAAUAAGGAUAGAUAUACAUCUAUUUAUAUAUCACAUUUAUGAAUCACUUAAUACGACAAUUAAUGUGGUAGAUCACGUUAUCUGCCAUGUCAGAAGCUUGUCUUAGUUAAGUUUCUAAUAUAUAAUGAUUGUGUGACAUAUGGUUAUCAAACUUUUUUUUUUUUUUGUGAACAUAAGUUAUCAAACUUUAAGGAUGCAUAAGUGUAAUCUUAAUUUAUCACCAUGGAUUGAAUCUAACGAAUGAUCUAACUCGGUCUUUCAAAACUUGGAGAGGAAUAACUUUGACUGCAAAGAAGCCGAUUACAUUGUCCACGCCAACGGGUCUAAAUCCACAUCUUUGCCUCCUUUAAAAUUUGAAAGACUUAUAAUAUACUUUUUGUUCAAGGACAACAAAAAUAUUUUCUAAAAACACAAAAAAGUAUAUAGCCGUUUUCACAUCAUCUCCUUCGUUUCCUUCUCUUUAAUCACAAAACCCAUACAAUAUGUGAGUAUUUCAUGAAAAAAAGGUGGUUUUGAAGUCGAGACAUUUAUUGACAACAAAAAUAAUUACUUAAGCUGUUUUAUUAUUAAUAAUAUAUUAAUCCUUCAACCAACUUGGAUUACUAAACUCACCUCUCAAAAUGUAAAAUAAAACAGGACGUUACUUAGUACUACGUUCUGAAUGUAUUAUUUUUAUGUAUAAGUGAGAGAUUUUAAGCUCAAUUUUUGUCAAAACAAAUUUGAACCAAUUUAUUAUAACUAGCCAUUGUAAAACUUGAUUCACGCUUCAACCCCUUAAUGUAAAUAAUAUGGUAAGUUUCAAAAAAUGUAAAUAAAACUAUACAAAGUGCGGGGUGGGGGGUGGGGGGGGGGGGACUCGUUGACUACGAAUUUGGAUCCUCUCCUAAGCCAAUGGAGAGGAUCCUCCUAACCAACCAUUGUGGACUGUUGGAUUUUUAUCCAAUAACUACAAACAGAGAAAUCCUUUUAAAGUUAUAAUAAUUACAGUUGGUCAGGAGGAUCAUCUCCAUUGGCUCAGGAGAUGAUCCAAAUCCGUUGACUACAGUUCCCAAAUUAAGGAUGAAAUAAGUCGACAAGCAUGUGACAAGUGUUGGAAUGUCGAAAUCGUGUUGCCUUCCAAUUCGUUGAAUUGAAAUCCAACAAGUGGCAGCCACUGAAAAUGAAAAUGAAGAUGCCUAUAUUGCUAAGGAGGCAGAUUGUCUGUCCUCCUCUUUGGGUGCCCUUCCGAUCCUCUCAUAUUUUGUGCGAUCACGGUUAAACUACGUCAACAUUUUAUAUUAAUUUUUUAUAGAGAUAAUAAGACAAAAAAUAAUAAAAAUAUAAAAUAUUGACGUGGCUUAACCGUUACCGUACAAAUAAGAAAAGAUAAGAAGGGCACCCAAAGAAGAGGGCAGACAAUCUACCUCCAUAUUGCUAAACCAGCGCGCAGCUUUACACGACCAGUAGCUUUAACUUUAGAUUAGUUGUUAAUCUUCUUUCUUUUUCUUAUUCCAGUUAAUAUUUAAUUAAACAUUUACUUAAACCCUUAUUCAGUGUUCACCGCUGAAAUCUCACUAGUAUCAAACAUUGGCGAGAUUCCUAGGAUUAGACAUCAGUCAUCUAAUUCAUAGUUAUGGAUUCAGAAUUUUUUCUUCUUCUUGAGAUCAACUUGAGAUCAAGAUGAAGUUCACACGCUACGUUUACUAGUUACUCUUGACUCAUUACCCUGCCUUAGCCUCUUAGGGGCAUUUAGUUAAACCUUUUGAGUCAUACUCAAAGGCUUGACAAAAGGGUUGUAUUUGUCGUGUUCGUGUUGUUUUGUGUCAUACUCGUUAUCUAAACGAGUCGUGUGGUGUCAAACUAGUUACCUUAACUGGUCUUAAUAGGUGACCCGAAAACGAAUUGGUAACGAGUUCUUAACAAGAAAUAACCUGAUAACAACCCAUAACGGGUCAUUUAGUAUUCGGGUAGCAAAUCAUGCAAGAAAUUGUCAAGCCUAAUCUCUAGAUUUGGCUAACGAUAUAUCAUUAGGUUCUUAACGGAUGAUUCGAUAACGAUCCGAUUCGUUAACAGGUUGACCUGAAACCUAUUAUUUUCGUAUUGUUUCGUGUCGGGUUAACGAGUUGUGCAAGAAAUUGCCAAACUUACUCUAAGAUACCAUCAACUGAAUAGCGGGAAGUGAGAGCAAUUGCAUACAUAAAAGUUUACAGUGGAUCCACGAGUGUAGUCGUAGUUAUGUAGAAUUUCAUAGAAUGAUUCAAAGUUUAAAUUAGUUGGCAUGCGAUGGUAUAAUUAAUAACCAAUGUAUUUGGUUUUGCGCCAUCCAAUUUCAAUUAAGCAAUUGGAGAAUGAUGCCUAAUCAUGUGAGGUCUCAUGCAGAGUUUUGAGCUUUCAACCUGUACAUGUGCAAUUGUGCAUGCAUAUGAGUUGUAUUAAGAACAAAACAAAGCCAUUAAAUAUAUAUAUUUUUUCCUCUAGUUUUAAUUGUAGCAUUUUAAUUUGGGCUUUUAAUAGUUUUAUUUUCUUCACAAUAAUAUGGGCUUAAAUCAAACACCAACAGGCACAGACAACUUCAGGUAGAAUACCCAAAUCAAUAACCUUCACCUGUAGCCAAAAAAGUGGGGUACUUUUAAAUUUAUUCAUUUGUUAUAAAUAGGUAAAAGAGAGACAACUUUUGUUAGAGAUCGAAGUAGAACAUGAUUAGUGUAUCACUCUGUCACAUUCUCUUUACUUGUGUUAGAUAAGGGAAAUAAAUAUAGAAGGAAAGAAGCGAGAGACACUUGUAGAAUUUAUUUCUGCAAUAUGAUUUGAUCUUUUGUUGUUUUGUAAGAAAAAUGUGUUGUUUAUGGUAUUUCGGAGUCACAAUAUAACUCUUUUAUAUAGGCAAAAGUCACAGAGACAAACAACCAAAAUCUUAGUUUUCCAAAAAAAAAAAAAAAAAAAAACCAUAAUCUUACGGAUAUGACAAUCACAAAGCAAAGACGGUUGUAGCAAAUAGUAGGUAAAAGCUUCUCCAUCGCAUGUGGGGCAUCCAUAUUUACAACAUUAUUUGAGUUUUACCACAAAUAAUCUUUUAUACCAAUUCAUUGAUUUUCUUCAAAUAAUCCUUUAUAUUCUAUACUCAACAAUUUGGUCUAACAAUUCACAUGGCACAAUGUGAUUGGCUUCCUAGAUCCCGUUUUUACGUCACAUCAGCUCGUUAACAAUUUUUAAUGAACUAAAACAACAAUGACGAAAUUGAUGAGUUUAGAACAUAAAAGACCAAAUUGACAAGUUGAUAAAACAUUAAUGAUUUGUGAUAAAAACUCUUUAUUUUCCAGCUCAAAAAUUUCAAUAAAAAUAUUAGCAAAGCCUAGCUAGAACAGUAUCAGGACAAAGUCCAGUCGACCAAGACAACAUUGAAAUAUCCUUUAUGUAAGUGGUGCGCUAAAAGUUUAGACUGGACAAUUGUGUCUCUUCUAGUCUUUGAAUUGCAUAAAUCAAAUAAAAAUAGAGGCAAACAGAAAUGUACACGAGCAAAAUGGGUGUUCGGAAAUCAUUUUCCGGAAGAAAAAUGGCGAUUUUAAUUGAGAAAUAAAAAAAUAAAAAAUGCGAUGUAGAGAGUGCAAUACAAGAGGAGGUCAUUAUUCACAAAGACACCAAUCUUCCUACAAAACGAUCCAAAUGUGAACUAAUGAAAAAAUUAAGCCAUAUCUAACUAGAGAAAAUGACAAAAAUAGUCUUGUCUUUUGCCCAGUUUACCAAGACGAUUAAUCUGGCGUCAGGAUAAAACACCAAAGGUUCCCAGUGGCACAAACCAAUAAAAUUACAGGCACAAAACCACCAUGGCCGGGUGGAGUAACGACGCAGACUACUAGGGCGGGGAGAGAGACGGGGAGAGCGCGAACCAGAGCAAGAGAGAGGGAGAGAAGAAGAAGAAGAAGAGUACACAAGGGCUAAUUACAAAGGGACUACAUUUUAUCCUUUUUCCAAAGAUGACAGAUGGGAAUAUAUAUAUAGGGUGAAGAAACAUAUUUCAAUCCGAGAAACAUGAGAAGGUUUGUACACAAGCAAUGGGCACAAGCCGAGGGGACGGGUUCUGUCCCAGCCAUAACGAACCCAAUGUUUUGCUAUGCGCUUUCUGCUGGAAGAUGACCCACAAUCCCAAGAUUGUUGGCAUAUUUGGGCCUCCACUCAGUCCUUCCCCUCACAAUCUCAGCCCCAUCCUCAAGUCGAAGCAUGUGCUGGCACUCCACCGUGCCAUUACUUCCCAGGUUGCCGAUAUCAGCACCUGAGACUGCAGUCAGAGACUGAAGCACACUGUCCCUCCCGCACUCCCUCCUAUACUCCAGAGUCAAAGAAGAGAGCUCAUGACUCUCCAGGAUUGGCAAGGGAGCACCCUGCAUCAACCAGAAUCAUCUUUCAGUUAAAGAGGUGUGCAAUAGUAUAAGAUGUAAAUAAGGAACGAUCAUUAUCCAAUAUCCAUCCAAAAUCUCGAUGUAACAUAGCCGCUAAUUACUUUUCAGCUUGGUAUGUAGGUUCAACUUAAAAUCAGCAAACCUACUAGUACAACUUCAACUAAUGGAAAGAAAAAAAUUCCAUUGAAAAAAGUCUACCUCAAGGAUCCAGCCAAUGUACUUCACGUUAUUAACGUGCUGGUUGACAUCUAAAUCACUCCAUCUAGGCUGCAAAUUGAGGGGGAAAAGGAAACAUAAAUAGAAAAUCUUUCGUAGUGAGCAAGCAGCUAAAAGAAACGCGUGAAUUAUGUGCAAAGAUGGUUGACUUACAGUCAAACCAGAGAGAACAACGUCCGCUGUUUUGUCAUCAAGUUUCGGCAGUUUCCUGCCAUCUUCCUCCACAACAGGAGGAGAAUUCAUAAAAAAGGACUCUAUUUCACCGCGAACUGCAUCAGGCAUCUUUGAUAAUCUCCUCGUCACUUUAUUCAUCAUCACCCACACACUGCAAAACCAAAAGGGAAAACAACGGCCAUACAAAUCCCAGUAAGUUACUCUUUAAAACACCAUUUAAUUGUGCAAGAGCACCAUAUUGCUGAUUGAAUUGCCAAAAGCUACCUUGGAUCUAUAAUAUAGAAAACAUAUCUUAGACUGUAUAACAAUUACCUGGAGGCUCUUGUUAGAAUUUGGCCAGUUUUCAAAUCCUGGAUAAUCCAAUCACGACGCAUUCCAUUCUUCCCAGAGGCACUAACCCAAGUGUCAACUUGAACAACGUCACCCCUGCAAUAAAGAAGCAAUUUGAGUCUAUCAGCAUAAUUGUCCAAUCAAAUUAAUGAGUGACAAAUCCUCCCAUUCAGAGAUAAGAGUUAUAUAUAGUCAUCAGCUAUAACAGAUGGUAUAAAACUUGUCAAUUUUAACCUAGUUGGGCAUAGAAAUGAUGUAUUAGUGCAAGUUAAUUAUGUUCCCAAAGUCGUCGAUACUUUAGCACUCAUUCUUAUAUUGAGAAUUUUGAAUAGUUAGCUUCUGCCUCUAGUAUCUUCCUCUUCUAAAACAAUACAUCAACUCGCUAGAAUCAGAAUGCAAAUGGAUAUGAAUACAUAAUACAUUCAACCUUUAUGCCAAAAUCAUUACAACAUAGAAAGACGAAAGAAAAUAGGUAGCCUUCAGACCUUGAAUACACAGUGAAGAGAAAAAAAAGAAUAUUAAUGAGAAAUUAGCUCCGCCUAUCUACAAAUAACAUUUUGAAUUACUGCAAUAAUGCAUCAACAGUGUGCUUGUGUUUUUUCCAAACACCAAAUUGAAUAGUAACUUUUGAAGUGUCCCCACUACUAUUCAAGGCUAAUCUUAAAAUUAUACAUAAUUCAUACAAUAGAUAACGGCAUAGCAGAACCAACAUAAAUUCCAAAAUAGUAAAGUCAAUCAACCCAAAUACAUAAAUGAACAAGUGACCAGGCAAAAUAAAGAGUAAACAACUUUUCUAGCAGAAGAGCAAGAUGAAUGUGACUUACCAAGUAGGAUAGCGGUCUACCACAACCUGCAUCUUCGUUACCACCCAUAUCAGGUUUCUUACAGUCAUCUCUGGAGUUGAACCAAAACCAUCUCCCAGAAGUCCAGCAGUCUUAACAUGAUUAAGUGCUGUUUCCUGCAGCCCAAAAAGAGAAGUAUGUAAUGACAAAGCUUGUCAGGAAGAAAAUGCACUCAAGCUCAAGAACGUGAACCAGUCACAGAACAUGUAAUUUGUGCUUCAAUCUCCUUAACUACAAACUGAAUUUGAAUUUGUCAAAAACUAUAACAUAGAAAUCAAAUUUGUCAAAAACCUGUAAAUGAUUCAUUAACGUCUCUAUUGAAGCCGUACGAUCAGCACCUAUUUCAUAUGAUCUAAUUGAGAAGUUCUGGCGAAAGACAAGACCAUCCUGAACAAUUCGUCCUAGACCAAAUGGGUCAAUGAGCAUGUCAGGUCGCUUGGGUUUCCAAUCAAGCAUUGUCCAUUGCUUCUCUGCAGCCAAGAAGAUUGUGGUAAUAGCAGCAAGGAGCACACUCCAAUCAGGUAAUUGGUUAAUGAAAGUCCGUGCCGGAGGGGAUGAAAUGUCAUCCCCAUGCUUCCCACUUUCCACGGUUGCCAAACCAACACUAGUUCCAUUUAUCUUUGAAGGGGCUUGAGCAUUUGCCUUUACCUGCAAACCACCAGAUGCAGACUUCGAUUUGAGUCCUAAAUUGGCUGACCCAAGCUUGGCGUUCUUGGCGCUUGAGUCUGAGUUGGGAGAAGAAACCGGAAAGAACGAGGCAGUAGCAGAAGUGGCAACCAUGAUGACAAUUGGAUCAGAGCAAAGAGUCACCGAUCCAAGCACUGUAACAGUAAAAUUCCAAAUUUGUCAAUGUAGUUUCACAUGGGAAUACAAAAAUAACCAAUCUUCAGCAAUAUGCACAAAAUGCCGGCAUGUUACUACUGCGGGCAUAAUAGCCAAUUGCCAGGUAGCAACUGACACCAAAACACCGACGGUAACAUAAUUUGAACAAAAAAUGAGAACAAUUCCUUCCCUAACUAAUUAGGCCAAUAACACCACCUGAUUCCAUACUCAGAAACCAACGAAAAAGCCAAAAGAAUUUGUACUGUGCAAUUAUCAUUUUUCGUUUAUUUGUUUGGGAGAAAGCAGUCUAGAAGACAACCCAAUUCAGAAACUUAAACAAGACUCAACAUUCAAAAUUUGAACAACAUAUUCUCCUUACAAAACCGAAAAAUAGAGGAACUAAACUAAAAAUUACUCUAACCCCAUAAGAGCUAGAAAUUAAAAUUUUCAGCAUAUGUUUCAAUCAUCAAUGAUUGUGUAUAACCAAAAUCGAAAACACGAAAAAUUAACAAAAGUAUCAGAGAAGCCUAAAAUUGGUGAGAAAAAAUGCACAACCAGCUGAAAUUAUAAAACUUUAUCAGAACUUAAUCUGUCUAAAAAAACAGAAUUAAGAAGCACAAUGAUUGAUACAGCUACGGCCCACAAAAAAAACAAAAACAAAAAGAACACUUUCGGGAUAUAUGCAGAGAAAAUCAAGGCAGAUCUGAGCUUUUGCAUCAACACAAAUCCAGUGAGAAAUCACACAACAUUUCAUAUGCCAUACAAAUUAUUUACAAUACGAAAAGAGAACCAUUUUUCCACUUCGUUACUUCAAGCAAACAAAUUUUCUUCCUUGUCUGUUUGGUUGCCGAGAAAAUGCAGAAACGAAAAGAAAAACAAAUCAAAAUUUCAAAACUUUCUCACAUAGAUCUUCAAUUUUAACGGGCAGAGAUAACACCUCCCCCUCAAACGAAACGAAAAAAACAGAAACAACGCGGCAACAACAACAACAUUCCCAUUCAUUCCGCCUUACCUCAACUUUCUCGGCAACCAAACAGGCCCCCUCCGGAAGAAAUCGAGAAAGCUUUCUGGACCUCCUCCUGCCCUCACCUUAAACCAAACAAACACGAAUCCAGAGCAGAUGGAAGGCCUAUUGCGUCAUUCCGGAUCGGCAAAACCUCGAGUUCUGCGUAGUUUCCACGGUUUUCCGAUUCUCCUUCGGUGGUGGUAGUGGGGGUGGUGUUUCUUUUAGCUUUCGAGAGAGAGAAAGUGUAGAGAGAGAGAAAGAGAGAGAGAGAGAGAGAGAGAGAGAGGGAGGGAGGGGAUUUUAGGGCCAGCGGUUUUGUGGGUGGUGGGGAAUUGGCGUCCAGCGAGGGACUCAAUAUAUAGUUUCUCCACCUGGCUGUACGUUAUCCCGCCUCAUUCCAAACUUCUUCACCCGACACCAUUUUUCUUCUUUUAUUUACGUCUUUGCCACUCCCACCUUUUUUUUUUCAAUUUUUAUUUUGUUAAUCGGAUUUAUUAAUUUGCCAACAAUUACUGUUGAGUUCUUUUUUGGUUCAUUAUUAUUGUUGUGUUAUUUUGGUUUAACAUUAUUGUUAUUGUUGAGUUGAGGGACCUUUUAUGUUUUACCAAAUUGCAGAAAUUGUCGUUAUGGUGGGGUUAUAUGUAAAUUUUAGAAUAUAUGGUGGUAAAAAAAAAAAAAAAAAAACUCUUGAUGACACACAUGUGUGAAUAAGUUAUCAAUUUUAGUCCAAAUCAAACUUAACAUCUAAAUUGUUUAAUUUUUUUUUUUGUAAGAGAUCUUGUAACGCAAUUAGUUAAGAAUAUUCGUUGUUGCAUCAUCUUGUAGUUUAGAUGAGUUUAGUGUAUCAUCAUAUUGUUUGUCCAACAAAAAAAAGUCUAAUUCUGUCCAUGUAAGCCUCAUUUUUAAGAAUGGAAGAUCAUUUCAAGCCUAAUUUAAAGGUCAAACAAACAUUGCAUGCCUAAACUCAGCCAAGUUAGCUACAGUGUGAUCUACGUUAUGCAUUCAAUGUUCGAAGUUCUCUUCUAGGUAAGAUAAAUUGACUAUAAAACAUAACUUAUAAAUUCAAACAAAGUUCAAUGUCUGAAAACAACAUUUUCACUCUUGUAUGUGAACCACACAUAAACGAAUCUAUUCAAAAGAUAAAUAUCAUGACAACCACAAUUGCGAAUUCUCUUAAUACUCUUUGAAACGCUUCACUUUUACCAUACUUUGUAUUGAGUCAAUUUAGGAAAUUAUGAACACAUUAGUGAGUAGUUUAAUAUCACCAUCACGUUUGUUCAAAAUUUGAAACAUGUCAUUUUUAAAGGUGUAAAAGGGGCAAUUUGGACCCUCCCCUCAAAUUCAUGAUUCAAACAAUAUCCGUCCUUUAACUCUAAAACAAUGUUAAACUUGUGAUUAUCCAUCUUGUAACUUCCAAAAGUUAACAACAACAUCAUCCUAGCGUUAUAAUAAUACCUUUUUAAUUUAAAAAAAAACAUACAAAUUGUAUUUUGGGACAUAUAUUGGUUGAGCUACGUAUUAGCUCGAUGCCAAACUUGAACACUACAUUCCAUGAUACCCAUCUCUCAAAUUGAUGGUGAGUAGCUCAACCAUAUGUGUACUAAAUUAACAGUUGUAUUGCCAGCUCAAAUUGGUUUUGACCUCCAACGCGUUGGAGACCGAAGGAAUUACAUUCAUUCUCAAAUUGUUUAUAUAUGUAUACAAACAUCUAUAUAUAUACAUGGUUUUGACUUGUCAUAUGAUUAUGUGUCAUGUUACUUGAGGUCUUCAAAUAAUCAAGAUCCUCUUCAGAUUUCUGUGUUCGAAGAUGACGGACAUAAAGAUCUGAACCACUCAUUUUAAAUCAUAUGACCUUCAUUAAUACAUCUCAUUAGCCCACAUCACACAAAUUAAGGGUUCAGAUCUCUCUCUCUCUUGAACGGUCUGAAUUUCUCAGUCCAUCGACUUCGAACUGUGAGAUUCGAAGAAAAUUUGAAUUCGUAUUAAGAAACAAGUUUCAUUAAAAAAGUACACCAUUUUAAUUCUUCCAUCGACCAUCCCCCCAUCGGCCAUCCUCCAUCAGCCAUCCCCUUAACUUAACCCAGCAAUAUUACAAUUUUAUUUUAUUUUGUCAUCCUAUCCAUAAACUUUAAUUUAAAAUGUGUAUUGUUGAAAAACGUUGAUGUAUAUAUGCUUUUUUUGGUAAUACGAAAGGAAAAGGAAAGUCUCAUUUGACAAGCUCAAUGAACUUUGUUCGUUGGCUCAAGUUUUGACCCUUCAAUCUUGUUGGCUCACGCUACGUUUUCAUGCAAGCAUACUCCUCAAAAAAGUUACUCUAAACAAGUUAAUCUGCUCAAUAGAGCCAUAUCUGUGACGUAGAUCAACUUGAUCAAAAGAAAACAACUCUCGAUUCAACAACUUUUAUCACUUAAAUUUGCAUUCAAAGUUUCCUUCCGAAAAGAUGGACGACUACAUGCACGUACGUCAUUAUACUAAACAGUCAUCCAGUGCUUGUGCAGUGUUGAAUAACUUUUAGGUUUGACAAUGACACUGCUAGUGCUAAAGCAAAUCAGGUGGUGAUAUAACACGUACCAAACCACUUACAUGUAGACCUGUAAACGGGUCGGGUUUAUUGAGUUUGAUCGGGUUCAACUUGACCGGUUAAGUUAACAGGUCAUCCGAAUUCAACCCGUUAAGCUAACGGGUCACCCGAACCCGACCCCGACCCGUUAAGCUAACGGGUCACCCAUUUCACCCUUUAACACCUGUUAACAAUUAUUAUUAUUUUUUCUUUUUGCAUAGAGUUUAUAUUUUGUUGUUAAAACUUUAUUGAAAUUACUAAAACAUCCUCAACUAAAGGGUGUUAACGGGUGCUAACGAGUCUAAUGGGUUGACCCAAAGUGACCCGUUAUUUAACGAGUUGUUAACGGGUCGGGUCUGAUCGGGUUAACGGAUUAUGUUCAAAAUGCCAGGUCUACUUACAUGAUAACAUGCGUAAAACCAAACAUUUCGCAUCCUUGUUUUGUGAAUUAUGUGUAAUGAUCGCUUUAAAAUUUCUCGUGCUUGUGUUGUGAACUAACGUGUGCGUUUAUGGAAAAAUAGAAAAGAAAAAGAAAAAGCUAAUUAAUUAGACCGGUAAACUACAUGUUGUAUCUUCUGCGUGUGUUUGGCGCGUUGAACGUUAAGACGUUUCCUUGCUUGUGGACUGUGACGUGUGCGAAGCUGGUAAAACCAAGAAGUUUCUUUUCCGGCGGUCAAGGGCGGAGAGAACAACGGUGAAAAGACGUGCAACGGACAUAUACCAGUGGCAGUUUUGUGAAUAUCAGUGCAUGGAAAGGCAAACUUGGUAAAGCGAUAAACAGUUAGCGUAGCCUAACAAGGGAUUUAAUCCGUUAACUGUCCUCGGCUAUUUGUUCACUGGUCCCCAUGAUCCGUUCACUUACACAGCCUGGCAACCAGCAAUUAGGGUUUUGAACUUAUGGGAUACAACCUGGAUUUAUAACCAAAAAAUAAAUUAAAUAAUUUAGUAUAUGAAAUUAAAUUACGAUAUGAAUAUUAAUCGACUAAAAUUAUUAAUUAAUAAUGGUUUUAUUUUUCAUAGAAAAAUAUUUUCCUAAACCUUGCAAUAGAUUGAUUGGGAUAGUGUAUCCGAGAGCCAUGUGAGAUUGGAUAAGGUGGGGUUGCCAUCCGGUUAGUACGUAUUAAAAGUAAUACUAUAAUAAUCUAACAGAAAUGAUACGUACACACGUUCUAAGUUUGAUUCCUAAAAUUACAUGAUGAUAGUCAGAGGAGGAUGAAAUGUCUCCAUGAGUUUCUCCUUCCCCCCCCCCCCCCCCGGGCACCAGUUGGUCCAUUUAAAAAAAAAAAUUCUAAUAGAAAUUUUAUAUUAACUAUUAACAAUUAUGUUUACGGGUAUAACACUUCAAGUCAUGGGUUUUGCUGGCAAGAGAUGGAAUAAUAUGGAUUAAAGUUUGGAUAAGCUCGAUGUUUAAUGUCCUCCGAUGCAAUUUCGUUCUAAGUAAUUUAUAGUAAGAGAUGUAACGUGUCCUAUUUAUCAAGACAAGUGGCAGAUAUAAGGACUGAGAUUUUAUACGAAUUAGGAACUCAAUUAGGAAGAUGACUCUUGAAAGAUAAGCCAAACUAGGGUUAAUUAAGGGCCUUAAGGGCUUCGGUUUCAAAAUUUUAUUCUUCACACGGAACCUUAACCCUAUCUAGGAGAAUUUUGAAAUCGAAGCCUUAACCUAGUCUAGGUUUUACUAUGAGAUGAGAAUAUGAAUGCCAUGCGUGAUCGAGUAGUCAAUUUCCCAUAUAUAUAUAUAAAAGUCAAGAGAUACACUUUUGACGUUUUUUUUUUUCGUGGAGUUCAUUUUGUAAUGUAUUUUAACGAUUCAAAAUAUUUAUAUUUUAGUUAAUCAUUCAUAAAUCAUACUUGCACAAAAUUAGACAAAUCCAAAACCAUUAAAACAUACAUUCAUUUAUAGUAAAGAAAACGAACGAAUAUGGUCCUACAAAAAAAAACUAAAUUUAAUCCUACAUGCAGACAUAUAUGGCUUCAGAUUUAUGUGAUUUUUUUAUAGAUAUGAUAUUUGAGUUAAAACAUAAAAGAUAGACGGUUAGGUCUUUGAAAUACAUUACGGAGCGGGCUACACGAAAAUAUGUGUCAAAAUGUGUGUCAGAAGCGUGUAUCCCUGGAUUAUAACAUAUAUCUAAAUAUAAUUACCCAAAUCGAAGCCUUAAGAACUAGUCUAGGACGUUCUCUUAUGAGAGGUCACUUCCAUAUAUAAUAACAUGCAUACGCUCCAAUACAACAUGAACUCAAAGACAGAAUGAACUCGGAAAUGAAUCGAACUUGGAGGUGAGUGGCUGUGCAAAUAUGCACGUAAGAGGCUCGAUCAAUACUGAUCAUGAGGUCUACAGGAUAUAAAUCCACCGCUUCUAUGGGCGCUCUGGGUUUUCUGCUACCUGUCUGAAUAAUGUGCCUUCCUUUUAUUGUUCUCAAACAAUCUGAGACAGCCACGUACAAGCACAAUGCAUAGACUCCACAAAAGAAUAUGAGAGACCAAAGCCACAUUAUGCCAAAUUCAAUUAAUGUCACAUGAGCAUAUUUUCUAUUCUCAUCUACCAACCAAUUUCUCUGUUCAUCUAUUCAAUAUCGUUUUUAAUUAUUUGAAUGACUUAUAUAUGUAUGUGUUUAUAUCUCUUUGAGUGGUGAACCUUAAAAAAUAAAGAAAUGUUUGCAAUCCCAGAGUUCGAUUUGAAUAAUAAAAAUAAUUGAGAGAGAAUAGCACUAGGAGUCAAUGAAGACGGGUUAUUGGAACAAUUGACAUAACCGUAUGCAGAUCUAGAAUUCGAAGUUUAGGGUGCCAAUAUUAAAAGUCUGAAUGUCUUAGAUAGAAAAAUAUCGCGAAAGGCGAAAAAAAAAUUUAUUCACUAAAGCAUUUUGUUGAAUACCUUAUGGGUUUGUUGUCGUUAGCUAAAUUAAGUUGCGCACAUGUCAACAUGUAUUGACAUAUGCCAAAACAAUCUAAUGAGUGUUGUUGAGAGAAAUUAUCGAGUGUUGUCGAUGCAACCUGCCAGAGGCACUUCGCCAAACACUUGGGGGCUCAUGUAUAAGUGCUUUUAAAAUGACUUAAAACACUUUUUGGUAAAAUUGAUUUGAGUUCUAAAAGCACUUUUAAGUGUUUUUUGUAAGAAACAUCAAAUAUGUUAUUUUUGCAUGAAGCACUUAAAGUGUUUUUUAAGGAUCCACUUAAACUUUUACUAAGAAUUGGUCAUUUUCAUUAAAAACGCUUUCAGUUAUUUUAAAUGCACUUCCAAAUGAGUCAUUGAAGGUCACAAAAAAGAUUUGUACUAAACAUUCGAUAGGUCUAAAAGACCAUCACAUGUAAAUUAAUCAGACUAUGAAUAGCCCUACCACCUUAAUCCCAAUAUACAUUUGCCCACCGGUCACUACAACAUCUCGAAACAUGUUUUUAUACUGUUGUUACAUAAAACUUGUUGCUAUAACAAUAAAAAUUACAUUUGAUAAUUGUUGUGUUAUCUGUCUCGUCGGAACAACUACGUAGGAAAAAGUAGCUGUCCUGUCACCAUGCAUGCAAUUGAGCAACGUAAUGAAGAACACUGAUUCAUCUUAGCAACACGCUCACCAAGAACCUUAAAUUGAUUACUUGUUAUUGUUAUUUCGUGUGCAAACAAUUUACAAAUUCACAUUAAGUUCUAUUAUUUUAAACAAGAUCAGUCGCUUUUUUGUUUCAAAGAUGAGAAACGCAACACGAACUUGUCCGCUCAUCUUUAUAUUGAUGUUAACCAAUCACCGAAUGACUACUAUAAAUGAGUUCAAUAAGAGAGUUUCGGACUUUCAAUUUAAAGUAUUUAUUUAAGUAAAAAACAGAAGAAGAAAAAACCACAAGAAGUUAAAAAAAAAUAUAUUAACCAAAAGCAUAAUAUAACCGGAUGACCAGAGAAUACAGUCUGCAUGGGAUUAUAGGAUUGCAGAGACAUUGUCGGCACAAAUGAAAGAAAGCAAAUUUAGAGCACCUUUCAUGGCUUAAACAGAAAACACUCUUUGCCACACUUUGCCACUUGUCGGUGGUUUUUGUUGAGAGCAUCAAUCUUAUAUUGGGAAAAAAAAUGAUCAGUUUCAAGUUUAGUAUGUAGAUAAUACGGACAAUACAAAUCGAACGACUUGAAGCAUAUGUGAUCUUUGGGUUUCACACGAUCAACAACUUGCUCUGAUACUAUGAAAAAAUUUAAGGUUCCACCAUACAACUUAUUGACAACAUAAAGAGUAGCUCAAUUGCUUAUAAGCACAUGUAAGUCCUAUCAUUUCUCCAAAGGGAGCUCAACACUCCCAAAAGUUUAAUCAAAAUUGCCAGAGUCCAGUGCUGUGGAUUUUUUACUCAAACUGGUUGGAAUAUUAAUUAUCGAACGGUUGAAAAUCAAAUGCCAGAACAUUUUUUUCUGUACAAGUGAGUUGAGCGAAAGAAAAUUGAACACAGAAACUCGAUCCUGUUAUGUGUAUAUAGAUAACCACUUGAAUUAUUUGCGACUGCAAAAGUCAAGACAAUCAUAGGGCAAGACCAAACCAGAGGGAAACAUAUAUAUUAAUAUUACUAGUAAAUUCUGUCAAAGAUUUUGACUUGAUUAGAAGUUUCAGAACGUAGAAUCGAUCGAGUUACGAGUUACGAGUUACGAGUUGAGAGUGAUAGAAGCCAUAUAAAAUCCUUGUAUCAUCAUCGUCAGCAAUGAGUGGAAACCGUCCCCGAAGCUCCUGGAAAAAUUUGUUUCACAUGUAAAUCAUUCUUUUUUCUUCAUUCAUUGUGCCCUUUAUUUAUUUAUUUUUUCUACAAAGACAAUUCUUGAAUCUGUAUUACUAGUACUACUAGAUAAUAUGCACGUUAUGGUUUUCAUGCUUUGGCCCAUAAAUUUGGUAUUUUUUCAAUUACUCUAUGAUACUAUUUAGAAAAAGGCAGGGGUUUAAUAUGAACGAUGAUUUUGUAAUGCAAUCACGUUACGUAUUAAAGUUUACCUUAAUAGUGUAACAUGACAUCCACAACGUAAACACUAAUCUUAUUACAGUAAUAAUAAUGUCAUUCUAUGUUAUUAACUAUAACAUUUCUCUUAUUAUAUAUGUAAUUAAUGUUAGACUAGGAACUUUGACUAUUUUUUGUAAUUCAGACGUUAAAUGCUUAACUUCUUGUUGUAAUGCUUAAAUGCUGUUAAAUAUGAAGGGAGAGAACGCAAAAAUAAAUAACAUUAAAGGAUACUUUUAUAACAAUCACCAAUAAUUUUAUUAAACAAGUACCAUUAACUUUUACAAAAGGUACAGUAGCAUUUUUUUCUCUUUUUUCGUUGUUAAAGAAAGAGGAAAGUAAGGCUCCUUGUGGGUUUUACACUGAUAUGAUCAAACAGUUGAGAGUUGCAAACAAGAAUACAAAAUAAAAUCACCAAAAUGAUCAUGAACUAUGUGGUGCAUGGCAAAGUGACAUGUCAACGUUGCACAACUAACACACAUAUAAUAAAACAAAUUUUGACAAGGAAAUCCGAACUUCUUCAUAGACCCGUGCCUUAGGGUCAAUGUGGGUAGGUUUGAGUUUGUUCAGCUAUGUAUCUCAUAUUCUAUAUAUCUAACACUACACAAACACAAUAUAUAAUAUUUACAGUCUAAAUGCCAAAUUAAGGACCUGCCUGACCUGCCUCCAUGGUGCCGUGGUCCAAAAUAUUAAUCCACCGGUCCCCCAACAUGUUUUUCUUUAUAUUGCCGCCCUUCAGUUUCACAGAACCAUAUAUGUGUAGAAAGACAAACCUGAGCAUACCAGUGAAUAAGAAAAAAUGGACUAGAAUUCAAUAGUUCAAAUUUCGUCCAAAUCACAAUAGUAACAACUUUAUUCUUUUCGAAUCAGCGUGAACCAUUGGAUUUUGAUCCAAUUCCAUGCAAGUGUAUUUUAUGCAGUUCUCAGCUUAGUUUUGAUCCAUAAGCUGUGUAUUUAAAUUCAGAAUCAGUAAUUAUCAUCCAUAAAAAGACUUUGUCGUUAAAUCAAAUAAUCGUGUGUAGUUCGCUAGUUUUGAAGUACAUACCCUAACUAAAUUAUGUAUCCCCUAUAUACCUACCUCCCAAAACCUAAUAAAUAAAUAACCAUAUUAAAAGGAAGAAACAUUGAAUUGAUAUGUAUUAUUCAUGAACGUAGUGCGUUUACAGCCUCAUAGUUUGGAGAUGCCCAAUAAGGGACGAUCUAGUUGUACUCCAAAGCGUUUGGGUCGCAGGAGGUGCACGAUCCUCCUAGGAGAAGAUGGAAAUUGGAAAGUGAAAUCCAAAACCAAAUUCAAUUUUCCACCGUCGGUCGACAUGUGCUGAAUUGAAUUUUCUUAAUAAUAUUGUUAGUUGCAUGUAGUUUGGCAAGCAUGUGUUCAUUGUUGCAAGUUUCUUAUUAAUCUCAAGAAAUUAAUUGGGAAUAAAUUAAUUUUUGACAGUCUAAUUUACCUGAUGAUAAUUUAAAAUGUAGUGCAGGACCUGGCUGGGGUAGUAUAUAUAUUAAUUAAUUUUCAGUUAAUAACUUCAAGACGAUAUCCCACUUACAUGCAAAAGCUUCUCAACUGCAAAGUUUUCAUAAUUUUUGUUUGUGCUUACAGAUUAAUUAAAAAAAAGCAUCGAUCGAUCCUCUACCAAAAAGAGAAAACAAUAAAAAUCUAGAUAUAUAAAUUGAAUUCUGACUCUAAAUAUGUAAAUUGAUUUAAAGGUCCAUGUUUGACUUAGAAGUUGGCGGUUUCAGAAGUUUAGAUACUGGGACAAACUUUCGUAACCACUUAAUUUACAAACCUAGCAAGUUUAUAUUUAAAUGUAAAUUUGAGUACAUCGAGGAUUAGGGUUAUCCCAUGAAAAAGAUAAGAAAAGGAUUAGACAGAAGAGACUACUGGAGAUGUCAAGAAAGUGAAAUUCCACUAACCAAUGGUCCACUCUAUUGCAUGGUUUUCCAAUAUAAAAUUAGAUUUUGGGACAAUAUUGACUUCACUAGAUUGGGACAACAGCGACCCAUGAUUGACAUGGAGCUAAUAUUUUGUAAAAGAUUUGUUAGCAGGAAUGGUAAAACCAAGACCAAUGAGCACGAAAGGUUCGUCAUAGAUAUGUUUAUGCCGGAUUCCGGUCAUUUAAUGCAUUAGGGUUGGUUAACACGCAAUAUCAUCUUCAUGUAUUAUCUACAAGUUUGGCACAAUUAAUGGGUAAGUCACAAUAUGUUUAUUUAGCUGAAUAAGAAUGACAGAAUGAUGGAGAGGAGAGAGAGAGAGAGAGAGAGAGAGGCGAGCCUUGGAUGGAAGGGAUGAUCGAUGUAUAAUCUCUUAGAUCUUUUACAUUGGUUUAUGCAAGUGUGAUACUUAUAUAUAGAAAUCAGAUAACUUGAGUUUAAGUCCAAUAUAUUGAUAUCACUCAUGAGUUUCAUAUAUCACUUUCAUAUAUCCACACACCUAUUUUACCUCCUCACCACCCUUAAUAUAUUAAACUCACGAGUUCAAUAUAUUGUCAUCACACUUAAAUUUUUUAGCCCACUAUAAAAAUGUAAUUCCUAUAUAAGUUUAAUAUACUGGUAGUCACUUUUUCCGACCUAGACAUUAGGGCAACAAUGGCCAUAGUUUUUAUAGCCUCAUAGGAACCCUAAACCCUGUAAUUACUAUAGUAGUAUUAUUCUUCGGGAUUUCUUGUUAGUAACUGCUAGUAUCAUUGGAGUAAUACAGUACAUGAUGUCUUUUUUUUUUUUUUUGGUAAACACAGUACUUGACGUCACAUAGCUCUCAUAGCAAACAUAAAUUUACACCGAGUCUUAAACUAUUUGGUAGAAAUUCCGUCCGUUUAUUGAUGAUAUAUACAUGGUUUAUUAUGCCCUUAUCAUUCUAACUGUUAUAUUUCAUUUGAAAUGUGAUAUGGAAGUAGUUUGAAGUUUGUUUUUGUUACUAAUUCACUCCUAAUAUGAAGCAAGAACUUGUAGAUCAUGUAGUUGAUUAAGAGUGUCAUUCAUGCACUCGAGGUCUUGCGUUGGAAUCUCAACUCUUCCAAUAUUCUUUUCGUUUUCGUUUGUUUGCAGAGGUUUUCAAUACACCAUUCAAAUUAUAACACAUAUAGUUCUUUUAAAGUGUGACACUGUGACUCAUCAACUCUUUCAUCCACCCAUAUUGUGAAAUGAUAAAUCAGGUAAAAAGUGUUGAUAUAUACCCGUAAAAGUUCUCCGUUUGGGUAUAUGGAGCUAUCCUAGUAUUCCGGCUCUAAAUAUAUAAAUUGAAUUAAAGGUCCAAGUUUGACAUAGAUGUUGGGGAUUUUCCAGAAAGAACUAAAGUUAGAAUGUAAAUUAAACUUUAGGUUUAUGAAAAGGAAAAUGCUAGGAUGAUCAUUGAUCAUCUUUUGUAAUCAUAUGAUGUGGUUGUUGUAAUAACAUGAUGUGGCUGUUGAUGAUUCAAAUGAGUCAUGUUUUAAAGAAGGAAAAAUUAGUAUCCGGUUCUUAGUUACUAAUGUUCAUUGAUUGAAACCUUAUUAGUUUUCAGAUUUUGAUCAAAGGCCCUAACAUUAAUGCAAUAAUGAAUUUAGAUGUUAGUUACAUAAUUUUUAAAAUAAAAAUUAAUAAUUGAUUUAGGAUUUUAAUACUCACACCUUUAUUAAACUCCUAACUAAUUUUCAAUUCAAAACAUUUCCCAAAAAAAAAAAAUUAGAAUAAGUUAUACCCCUUAAUAUAAAAGGUUUCCAAUUUUUUAAUCUUAUAUGUACCCAUUCAUGUAAUUUUUCAACUUUUUAAUCUUAAAAUGUACCCCUUUUUUUAUAUAAAAUCUAUUCAAUUUUUUUUCUAAUCCAUUUUUAAACUUAAAUGGGUAAUUCUUUUUCUUGAUUUGAGAAUGUAUCCGUGUCAAAUUUAAUCAAAGAAAUUUAGUAAUGUUAUUAAGCCUAUAUCUAUUUUUUUUGUGUGGUUUGAAGAAUGUCCCAUAUUUGGUACAAUAAUUUUAUUAUUAAUUUGAUGAAUGUACCCAUGUUUAUAUACAUACACACACAAUAUAUUUGAGAGUAUAAUUUAUAUUUUAAUAAUGUUAAUCCACAAAUUAUGGGUUUUAUUUAUUUAUUUAAAAUAUCAUUAAUACAAACAACUAUAAAUUUCAAUUUAAAAAAUAAAAAAUAUAAUUUGUAAAAGAAGAAAAAUUGAAAACCAGCAACUUUUAGAUCACAUCCAAAACUUUAAAGGAAACGCAAAAGUUACACACUAAAAAGCUAUUUUAAGAAGAGUAGGGGAAUUUGCAAGAUUAACACAGAACUAGAUGCAACUUUUCGUGGUUACAACCCUAACAAGUUUAAAUAUUAAUAAAAAUUGAAUAAAGGAUUAGACACUGGAGGAAAGGGAGCGAGAGCUCUUUUCUGUAGAUGCCAGAGAAAGACGAAAGGUUGCACCCCAUGACGUUCCCAAUUAUUUUUCAGGUAUCCGCAGCAUCUUCAAAAUCUUAUCUAAUCCAAAUUUAAGGAAAAGGAAAGUUCAAAAGAUAAAUCUCAAAUGUUAAUUUGGCAGGUGACGUAGCAAUGUUAAAUUUUCUUUUUUUUUAACCGAUAUGUUUUUAAUGUUAUAAAUGAUAUUUGUAGGACCAAUUUUAAAAAGAAAUCAAUUAAAAUAAAUUUUCAAGAUCUAUAAUUGAUACAUUAAUGAGUCCACACAACAUAAUAAUUAAAAAUUAUUUGACAUCACAUUUUCUCAUAUGUCAAAUUUGGCAUAUGAAAACUCACAUAAGAUUGACAUAUUAGUUGGAACUUGCUUAUACCUUCAAAUUUGAUUACAUGACAUUUCACUUAAGAUUUGACAUCUCAUUUGGAAAUACCUGUCUGUUAACACACCCAACUUACUUUGCCCCUUAUAAUUAACCGGUCGAAUCUACAUUAACGAAAUAUAUUCUCUACCCGUAUAAAAUGAAAUUAACUUGCAAAGUUAGCACGCCGGCCCUAUUUGCCUUUGCUUGACUAACUAACCGAACGCACAUAUAUGCACCCAUAUUGAGCAUCUAAAACUAGGCUCAUAAUCAAAAUGAAAACGGGAUGAAAUCAUAUUUUCGUUCAUUCGAUCGUUUGAGAAUCACAAUAUCAGUUCGCAGGUCCAAACCGAGUUAACAUUUCGAGUUGAAAUUAGCACCUAGCUGAGUAGCGAUCGCCACUAAACUCGCGGAAGUUGAAGAACACGAACAAAAAGUUAAACAAGAAACGAAGAUGAAGAAGAAAAACGAAGAAACAAUUAGUUAUGGGAGCAUAAAAUCAACAUAAAACAUGGAAGAAAAUUGCCCAAGAUGAUGAGAUCACACAAAAAUCAGCUCAACUCAAUAUACAAGCGGGCAAUCCCUCUUCACAUGAAAGAAAACAAGUAACUUUUUCUCACUGUUCGUUGGAAAAAUCGCAAUAGCUACCAAGACGCAGACAGUAAAAACUGUACAGUGUACUAUACAGGAAAGUAUGAGGCUUUACUCUUCGGUAAAUGCUUCGCAACGGUUCUUUCGUG